AUUGGCCCCUUGCAGGUGACUGAAGGUGGAUGAUAUUUUUUGCUGUAAAAAAAAACAAUGUGAAUUCUGAUUGGGUUAAGUAAAAUGUAAAUUCUGAUUAUUGGGGAGGGUUAGUCAAAUGUGAAUUCUGAUUGGGUUAGUCAAAUGUGAAUUCUGAUUGGGUUAGUCAAAUGUGAAUUCUGAUUGGGUUAGUCAAAUGUGAAUUCUGAUUGGGUUAGUCAAAUGUGAAUUCUGAUUGGGUUAGUCAAAUGUGAAUUCAGAUUGUUGGGAAGGGUUUUUGAGUUAACGGUCAUUCAUGAGUUGCCAAGGCAAUGACAAGCAGGGAGGGUAACCCAGUACCCUUACCCUUUUGAGUGGGAUGUUUGUACAGUGGGUUGACUAAACUCCUGCAACCUUGUCAGCUCCUUUGACUUACUGUUACCUGUGAUGUGGUGCAGGGCCAGCAUAAAUGAUGUCUAUAUCCGCGUCUCCCCAGGUAUUGAAAGCCCCCAUCCACCCUGUCCCCACAUCCUGGUGUCUGUGCAGGCCCUGGUCCGCAUGCCCGUUCUGCUGCUGCCUGUAGGUCUGUCAGUGCCGAAAACCCAAACGGUUGGGGGGGUCCUUGGGUUCUACUUGAGCACACCUGCAGGGAUGGCCCCUCAUGUUUAAAGCAGGUUGUAUACCACUUACAGUACAUUGAAGGUAAGCUAUCUCCCCCCCCUCCUAAAAAACUAAACUCAUCAACUCCAACUGGUUAUUACCUCAUGUUUUAUUUUAUUUUUAUAUUACACAUGGUUUUAGCCAGAUGUCCCUGUAGACAUGGUUAUGUCAAGAAAUAUGGUUUCUAUAAGACAACUAUAUAUUCCUUAAGCAUAAUUCAAAUCACUAUGGCAAAGCUGGAUUUAAAAAAAAUCCAAAUCGGUCAUGCAUCUAAAUUGUAGAGAGAAAAUUGAGGAGGGGGGGGGGGGGGGCUUUAUCCAACAAGCUGUCACCUUCAGUGUACUUCUCUUAAUGCAAAAGCUACAUUUUAUUUGCUCUACUGUGUAAUGAAUACCUUUCUUUUCCUGCGCUCCCUUUACGGUGUUACGAUGUUAGAAACUGUGAGGAUAGCAGUCUUGCUAUGUACACAAAAGCAUGUGUUAAUUGUUUCUAGGUGUGUUCUCUAAAAAAUAAUAAUAAUAAUAAGGCUAUGUAGGUGUUUUGUUUCCCUCUGUUAUCUGUCAUUGGUUUUCAUGUUUUGUAUGACCAUGGUGUCUUUUGAUACAGGGAUAUUCCUGCACUGAGCUUUGAGUCUGCUUGUUAUGAUCGGUAAUUGCCUCUACUUUAUUUGGUGUUAUACAUAUAUAAUGAUGAUCUUAUAGGACCAAAACAGAAAUAAAACAGCCUAAAUGAGUAGCUAAUGCAGUAUGUAUGCCUUUUCCAUAAAAUGUCUUCCCUACAUACAAAUGCCAAUGUUCAGGCCCCAUAAAGUGUCAACAAUGAACUGAAAUGCGUUCUUUUUAAAGCUAAUUCACCAAACCUAAGCUAAGAAUACUUUGGUGUUCAGCGACUUUUAGGCUGGAAUCCAAACUUGAGAUCUGUGCGCCAAAACUUGACACGUACAGAUCGAAAGUUAGAAUUCGGCCCUCACGUGCUAGAUUUAGUUCAAACCAAAGGAGCAGAAGAAGACAACAUUUUGUGUGCUGUUUCACUGACUCUGAUGUUUGUGCUGUUUUCCCCCACAAUGAUGUUUCCUGUGGUGGCUGAGAGCGAGACAAGAGUCCAGCACUUCCUUCUCCAGCCCGGGCUCCCCUUUCAGAGAGACAAGACCUCCACAAGGCCACUUAUCAAGGUCAUUUCUGAUGGCAUGUGUAGAUACUAAAAGCCGUAAAGCUAUAGAAAUAAAUAGUCGCAAACUCGUAUAACUCCCAGCGACUCUAUUUAGUUGUAUAGCUUCCAGUUAAUUUGCCGAUAGUCAGCACACGAGUGUUCUCUGGGGAUGCUCCAGCUUGUUAUUAGAUACUAGAAGCCAACAACACUGGGGUUGAUGUAAAAUACAAUAUGGCGAAUUCAUUUUGCUUACUGUUUUCCUGGGAAGGCAUUUGUCAUAGACGCUCACCCACACUCAACCAUUAAAAAGUUGUGGUUCCAAAUGUUUCCUCUCACAAGAUGUUAAGGAUUUAUCGUUGUAUUCGUCUACACGUGACAGACACUUUUUGGUUAACAAAGAGUCAUUACAAGCUGCACAUGUACCUGAGUGUGUUUUGAUUACGCAUAUGGCUCUAAACUGGUUCCAGAUUACCACCAGGCAUCCGGUAGCUUGACUUGUAACUGUCAAAGUUGAACCACCAGGCGUCCGGUAGCUUGACUUGUAACUGUCAAAGUUGAACCACCAGGCGUCCGGUAGCUUGACUUGUAACUGUCAAAGUUUAACCACCAGGCGUCCGGUAGCUUGACUUGUAACUGUCAAAGUUGAACCACCAGGCGUCCGGUAGCUUGACUUGUAACUGUCAAAGUUGAACCAUCAGGCGUCCGGUAGCUUGACUUGUAACUGUCAAAGUUGAACCAAGAUACUUGUUCAUUUGUUCUCUAUAUGUUCUAGGUGCCGCCCUUUUAGAGAAGAGUCUCGCAAGGAACCUCCUCUGGACAAAGGUUUCUGUUCUGAAGAGAGUUACAGUAUUUGUAAAGGGUAAGUCAGAACUUCUCUUCCCUGCCUUGGUUCCUUCAGUCUCCUCUUUCCGCUUUGGUGCCCAUGUAAGACUUGAGACCAGGGAAGAUGUUCCAUGAAUGAGCCCCUGUGGAUAUUUCUCAAAUAGAAAAUGUUAAAACAGAAAUGUUUUAUUUUUUUAAUGUUAUGUAACACAUUUGUCUACAUCCUUCACUUUAUUCAAUGUAAUCUUGUACACUACUGUUUCCUUAUGAUAUAACAUCAAUGUGCAUGCUCUGUCCUUAAUUGAGAACAUAACCAACAUGUGUUCAUUUUUCAUUUGGCAUAUUAAUACAAUAAACAUAGGCACAGACUA